rnacentral:rRNA from 1 species
ACUCCUGCGGGAGGCAGCAGUGGGGAAUAUUGGACAAUGGGCGCAAGCCUGAUCCAGCCAUGCCGCGUGAGUGAUGAAGGCCCUAGGGUUGUAAAGCUCUUUCACCGGUGAAGAUAAUGACGGUAACCGGAGAAGAAGCCCCGGCUAACUUCGUGCCAGCAGCCGCGGUAAUACGAAGGGGGCUAGCGUUGUUCGGAUUUACUGGGCGUAAAGCGCACGUAGGCGGACUAUUAAGUCAGGGGUGAAAUCCCGGGGCUCAACCCCGGAACUGCCUUUGAUACUGGUAGUCUUGAGUGCGAGAGAGGUGAGUGGAAUUCCGAGUGUAGAGGUGAAAUUCGUAGAUAUUCGGAGGAACACCAGUGGCGAAGGCGGCUCACUGGCUCGAUACUGACGCUGAGGUGCGAAAGCGUGGGGAGCAAACAGGAUUAGAAACCCCAGUAGUCCCAUGA